UACGUAGGGGGCUAGCGUUGUCCGGAUUUAUUGGGCGUAAAGAGCGUGUAGGCGGCUUGGCAAGUCUGCUGUGAAAACUCGAGGCUCAACCUCGAGCUGUCGGUGGAAACUGCUUGGCUAGAGUCCGGAAGAGGAGAGUGGAAUUCCUGGUGUAGCGGUGAAAUGCGCAGAUAUCAGGAAGAACACCUAUGGCGAAGGCAGCUCUCUGGGACGGUACUGACGCUGAGACGCGAAAGCGUGGGGAGCAAACAGG
rnacentral:rRNA from 1 species